rnacentral:lncRNA from 1 species
GAUUCUAUGUUUUCGAGCCUUUAGCUCGAGUCUCGCUCCACCUGCAUUAAAUUUACAACUGUGGCUUCCAGGCCCAAAUGAAUAAAUAGGGAAAUCAAUAAAUAAAUGAAUAUAUACAAUAACAAAUAAACUAAUAAGGGAAUGAGACUUAUAAGACUCUUGGUCGCUUCAAUGAUGGGACUUUGACCCAUUUUCCUCUUCCGACUCCACGUAUCUGUAUGCCAUGCAAUUUGCUUUUCAAAGUCUCCUAAAGGGUGAGCCUCCAUGGCCCACUGCGAAAUACAAGGGAAAAAGUUCAUUUGGACUCUCAAGCGGGUUCAUGCGAAGCAAGAAAGUAAUGACCAUUAAUAUGUGAUCAACUAAGAAAGAAAAGGAAAAGGGGAGCUAAAGGAGAAAAACACAAACAUUCAACCAAGGAAAUAAAAAAAAAAAAAGAUACAUGACAUAUGACUAUCUGAAGGGAAGACAUCACAGAGCAAUCUAACUCUUAGUCGGUCACAGCAAAGCCACAAGGCUAAUGAAAAGUGUGAGGGUGCGUUCAUAUAGGCAAAUAACAUGCUAAGUCAAAAUCCUCCCUAUACGUACCCUCAAAAUCCUAUAAGACUAGUUGGAAAAUAACAAAUAGAAAACUCAAAAUAUCGGACCAUGGAGAGGCAAUCAAAGAAAAUUAGCUUGAGCAAAGAGGGAGAAUUUCCCUUACAUCAAAUGCACUGCCACCUGCUUAAAUUCUUUCAUACUAAUUAAUGAGUUGAGGAACUUUAACCAACACUAGCAAUCCACCCAAAUAAUUGACAUCAAACACAUCGUCAGAACACUAUAUAAAACACCAAGAAUGAAACACGGGGAAUCCCAAACACAUAACGAAAGACUCAUUUCUCUUAAUGGUCAAAAAUAAUCUUCUCUCAUAUUAUAACCUCAAAAUUUAAACAUUCAGGCUCCGAAUUAAACGCGAAGGAUGUUCAUAAAUCAGAUCAUUUCCAAGUCAAGCUCAUAUUUUCAUUAUACAAUAUCAUUCAGACUCAAAUACAAUAUCGAAGGGACCCUACCCAUUUUUUUUUCAAUAAGACAAUUACAUUUCCUUUGGGGAUCAAACAAACGAAAUGCCGACUUGAAACAAGCUCCAAAAGGAAGCAAAGAUUCAAAAUUUGCAAUUCCACAACAAAGGGAGCAGGUUUAACAGGUAAACAAAAUUCAGCAGCUCAAAAUGUAUUGAACAAAAUCGCAGUGUGAAACUUUAACCAUAGAAAUCAGGUAAACAAGAUUCCAACAACCUGAAACUUAUUAGACCAAACCAAAACACAAAAGUUCACUACGAAACUAGUUUUAACGAAAUUCAGACAACCCAAAAUAGGAUCAAAGCAUGUAACUUUAAACUACGAAACCAACCUCAAAAGGAUAUUGGUUACUCGAAACAAAAUCCAAGGCACAGAACUUUAAUGUAAAAGCCAGACCUAACAAAAUGCUAUUACCCGAAAAACUGUUAAAGCACGAAACUUUAACGGGAUUAACCAUACAAAACUUAAGCAACAAACAAAAUAAGAGCAUUCAACCGAAAAUCAAUCAACAAUAUACAACGAACACCCAGCGCAGGAUUAUUAGAAUAAUAGUUUUCUACUACAGAAUGAUGAGAUGAAGAAGAAGCAGUCGAAAGAUUAAAAUGGUGUAUGAUAUUACCUUUACGAGAGAAGCAAAAUGAGACGAAGAAACUAACACCAAAAAACGCCACCUUCGAAACUUAGUGUCAUCAACUCAAGAAGCUCUGAUUGACCUGCCAACUCCUUCGACGCAGAAAAAUUAUGACGACGAGCUAUCAGCACACUUAUCGCUAACAGAAUCUCACGACAUCGACCACCAACAAAGCAUCUUUUACCUUUACCCCUAAAGAAAUUUUGAAACCCCCGAGACUUUCGACUGAAAUUUUCAACCUACAUUUAGAAACUCUAAAAAAUUUUCCUCCCUCAGAAGAUUUCUCUCUUUUUGAACCUUCAAAAGACUACCCCAAAAUUCCGACCCCCUCCUAAUUUUCUCGACUUCAAAGAUCCAACCCCCUAAAACAGUGACCCAAUGGAUCUUUAUAUAAAAGAAGGAUUAGGGGUAAUCUAGGGAAUUCGGAAGAAAGAAUUUUGAAUCUCCCUCAAAAAUCUCCCCCCCACAGUCCGUUUUCGUGCUCAAUUCAUACCAAUUUUUGGAUUUUCUUUUCGGAUCAAGGGAAGGGUGGACCAAUAGGAUUUUUGAAAAACAAAUUGUACCCCCCAACUAAUGAAAAUUCCCCAAAUUUGCACGAAAUCGUACCAUUGUUACCGAGAUUUGCGAAAUUGAUCCGUUGAGGGGACACCUAUACAUCUUCUAGAGGAUUCUCGAACUUCCCAUGGUACGAAACUGCAUGCUACUCACGUGAGAAGUACGAUAGAAGUAAGGGAGAGGAGAAACGGCGGGUUCUAUCGGGUCGGACCUGGUUGGAAUCGGGUUGAUGGCUGAUGUUAGGUGUUGUCGCGAUAUUGUUGUCGUUUAAUUUUGAAGCUGAUAUGGUUUGAUGUUGUUGAAGAGAAAGAAAAUGGGUGAAGAGUAUUGGGCCCGGGUCGGAUCUAUUGAAAUUGGGCUUGGUGGCUGGUUGUUAAGUGCUGAAUAUUAAUGAGAAAAGGAAAUGG